rnacentral:rRNA from 1 species
ACCCGCUGAACUUAAGCAUAUCAAUAAGCGGAGGAAAAGAAACCAACAGGGAUUGCCUCAGUAACGGCGAGUGAAGCGGCAAAAGCUCAAAUUUGAAAUCUGGCUCUUUCAGGGUCCGAGUUGUAAUUUGUAGAAGAUGCUUCGGGUGUGGUCCCGGUCUAAGUUCCUUGGAACAGGACGUCAUAGAGGGUGAGAAUCCCGUAUGUGACUGGGUACCUACGCUCAUGUGAAGCUCUUUCGACGAGUCGAGUUGUUUGGGAAUGCAGCUCAAAAUGGGUGGUAAAUUUCAUCUAAAGCUAAAUAUUGGCCAGAGACCGAUAGCGCACAAGUAGAGUGAUCGAAAGAUGAAAAGCACUUUGAAAAGAGAGUUAAACAGUAUGUGAAAUUGUUGAAAGGGAAGCGCUGGCAACCAGACUCGUGCGCGGGGUUCCCCCUUGCUUCUGCUUGGGUUAUUUCCCCGUGUCCGGGCCAUCAUCAGUUUUGGGGGCCGGUUAAAGGUCUUGGGAAUGUAUCUACUCCUUCGGGGGUAGACUUAUAGCCCAGGGCGUCAUGCGGCCACCCGGGACUGAGGAACGCGCUUCGGCGAGGAUGAUGGCGUAAUGGUUGU